rnacentral:rRNA from 1 species
ACGUUGAUAGGCAGGGUGUGUAAGCGCUGUGAGGCGUUGAGCUAACCUGUACUAAUGGCCCGUGAGGCUUAACCAUACAACACCCAAG